ACUUUGAUUAUGGCUCGGAGUGAACGCUGGCGGCGUGCUUAACACAUGCAAGUCGAACGAUGAAGCUCUUGCUUGCAAGAGUGGAUUAGUGGCGCACGGGUGAGUAAUGUAUAGCUAACCUGCCCUUCAGAGGGGGACAACAGUUGGAAACGACUGCUAAUACCCCAUACUCCUUUCUAUCAUAAGGUAGAUUGGGAAAACUCCGGUGCUGAAGGAUGGGGCUGUAUGGUAUCAGUUAGUUGGUGGGGUAAUGGCCUACCAAGGCAAUGACGCCUAGCUGGUCUGAGAGGAUGAUCAGCCACACUGGAACUGAGACACGGUCCAGACUCCUACGGGAGGCAGCAGUGGGGAAUAUUGCACAAUGGGGGAAACCCUGAUGCAGCAACGCCGCGUGGAGGAUGACGCAUUUCGGUGUGUAAACUCCUUUUAUCAGUCAAGAACAUGACGGUAGCUGAUGAAUAAGCACCGGCUAACUCCGUGCCAGCAGCCGCGGUA
rnacentral:rRNA from 1 species